GUACACUGGAAAUUCAUCAAAGUCACAACAACGUUACAAUAAGCUUCCCAGUUGCAAUUUUUUUUGAACGGGACGACACCUAGGUGCCAAAUAAUUAACUCGCUAACGAAAUUAAAUAAGCACAGAGGUAAGCCAUUUAAGUUAAAAAGUUGGCGCGCUGCAGACUCGUGUAUCGAGUCGAUAAAAUCAAUUUUCAGUCGUCCAGAAAUUGUCAAAAGCGUGUAUAUUCAGGUACAUAGGUGGAUUAUCUUCUUAAUACGAAUAAAAAUUUGAGUAGAGUUUUACGCUGAAAAUACAGGUGGUACUAUUUAAUAUUAAACACGUGCGCACAAUCCCAAACUUCAGAAGAAUAGAAUGGCUGAGCUUGUGAGGGGAUUAUGUAAGCGCUAUUUGAGAGAAAAUCACAAAUGGCUUCGUGAAUAUUCUCCUUAACGGUAUUGUGAUUCUGAAGAGGAUGCCACGCGCGUUCUUUUUCUACUAGAGAUCUAAUAAGUUUUAGGGUACUAGAGAUCUAAUAAGUUUUAGGGUUGUCGCAAUGCAGUUUACUCUUGCCCGAUAACAAAUGCCACACAAUUUGAAUAUAAAACUUGCAUACGAGCGACGCAAUUACAGUACGAUCUCCGCACAAGAGACACAAGAGAAACAAAAACAACGGAAAAAUAUUACAAAACGAUCAUAGCUUAUCCACAGAAUCGUAGUAUUGUCACACGAGGACAAGAACGAGAUCACAACGAAGAUCAUUAAACGAAGUGAAAUAAUCGCGUCAUUUGUGUGCAUCGGGCUAAUUAAUGGUCUGUUAUACAGUGUACGAACGUUUUCAUAUAUGUAUUUCCAAACGCGAAGGCUUCUGUAGCAAUGUUAUCAUGCGUAUAAUAGAUAAUUACUAAUUAUACUAAAUACCUCUUUGACUGAUUUUUCGACAAAGGACAGGCUCCAGGUGAUUCAAAUGUUCUAAACGUGGCUGAAAGCUGCAGUUCACCGUUCCAAGACUGUACGGAUCGAAUGGAUCGCCACACCUUGGAUCGUAUUCGCUGUUGCAUUGAUAGCAUAUUAUUGCUUCUCCUGGAAAAAUGAAUUUUACAUCAAAUACUGAGUCGACUAAAUUUUAGAAUAAUUGAAAAGAAAUGACAGAAGGCGAAAGAUUUCAAGAGGGAAGAAGUUUUUUUUUAUAAAUCACAAAUAAACUGAAUUUUUUUUGUUUCGUAACGAAACGCUGAAACGCUAGGCUAUUCUAUCGAUUAGAAUAGGGUAGGUCAGAACUUAGAGGAAUCAUCCAUUUUAUAAGUUGCGGCUCCUUGUGCGCUACCCUUAUCGCGUGCUGCAACUUGCUCAAAACUGGGCCACUAAUAUGCAGAUCAUCGCUUAAAAUAAUGAACAAUUGUAACGAACUGAAAAGAAGAGCAGUCUAUCGAUUAGAUCUUUUUUGACGUCGAACGUUGAUGAGUAUUUGAUUGAUAAUAAUGAUUAUAAAUUUUUGCUGGUGAUUGGCUACGGCCCUGCCGCGCUGUGACGUCACCACGCAACCCCAUUCACCCUCCCGACGAGACUGGUUACAGCACCAGCUGAUAUCGAGCAGGAAGACCCCAACCAAUGCGAUGACCUACUGAUACACACAUAGGAAAAUAGGUCCAACAAUAGGAGAACAAAUUUUGCAAAUUCUGGCGACAGAAAUGUGACUGGAGAUGGUCGUAUAUUCAUUGGUCAUAAAUUUUCAAACUUAUGUUUUGUAAAAUUGAGCAGAAUUUGUCAAAAGAAAGAACACCGAUUAUAAUUCAAUCGGUCGUGCGUAAUUUAGUGGAAAAGUGUUUGCUUAUUAAUUAGAAGAUGAAAUUGCAUAAACGAGAUUUUACAUUCCCUCGUUGGCUUCUUUGAUUAGCCGAAUUUAGGCCGAGCGUGCAAGGAAAUAUAGAUGAUGCGGCUCGGUACCCUGACCUUGAGUAAAUUCUGUAGGGCAUUUCACUGGUGCGCCGCUUUCAAUGGCAAGCUUCGUAUCGUUAAAAUACAAAAUUCCUUUACCGAAUCAUUAAUAGGAUUCUUUAGAAAGGAGCCAUUUAAUGUAUAAUCACUGGCAUCACCUCCUGUGAGUAUUAUUGUCAAACACUUUUCACAGGUGUAUUGGCAAAAAACUCGGCGUUUCUUGCCUAAAAUUUUGUACAGCAACUAAAAGUCAUUCGAGCAUGAAAUUAGCAUAAUAGGCACAGUCGAUUGCACCGUAGUCACAAAAAAGAUGAAAAUCCUUUGGCGAUUUGAUUAAAGAGGACAAGUCGAUGUGCCGUGGUAUUGCCGAGCUAGAUGAAUAUUGCGUUAUACCGACCAGUAAGCACGACGUGCGAAAACAUUGAUCAGAACUGUGUGUGCACAGAAGGUUCUUCAACGACAUUUGAAACCACACGAGACGUUCGAUCAGCAGUAAAUAGGACAGAGCAGCCGGGGUAGACGGUAGGGGUGAGUCGCGUGAGGAACUAACAAGCGCUGCGUGACAUUGCAGGUCCUUAUGUAAUCGACAGGAACUGAAACGAAGGGAUCGGCCCAGAUGCCUCUCCCUCGUUGACAUAAAAACAUCCCUGAUAAGAAAAAAAAAAAAAGGAGGAGGAACGCUGACUAAGACAAUAGUUCUCGUCCAACUAUAGGAUUAACAUUGAUUAAUACACUUAACAUUUUUCUUUUUUUAGCGUGAACAUUUUUAAAUCAACAAAAUAUUCUUUCCUUUUGUGUUUCGUUAACUGUUUGGAUUUGUUUGAGCGAGUCGCCGGAGUUACUUGAAGGAACGAACAAUGCUGGAUGACACACAGUUUGCACGGACAUGACGCGACAAUGCAAAUUUUAUAAAACAUUUGUCCAUAAGCCAAGGUUAACACAAGGAACGUCCCCUUGGUCACGGUACCACGCGGUGCAGGGAGAAUAGAAUUCGAAGAAGAGUGUGAGAGAAUGCAGAGGGUGGGAGGGGAGAAAGUGGGUCGCUCGAUAACCCUCGCGGGGGCCAGGUUCUAUGAACCAAAAUUCUAAAUUUUAACAAAUUUCAUCGACCAACUGGCGAUUUUAGUCAGUUUUUUUUUUUCAAAAGGAAGCUGAAAUAACCGAGCGUCAGCAUUUUUCCUUUCGAUUCCGCGACGCAAUUGCAAUCAGAUUCGACAAAGCAGCUUUAAGUUCGACCAGUUGUGAAGUGGUUCCUUUAAAGUCACCAUCUAACGAUUGAAGCCAAUUACACGCAACAAUACAUCGCUUACGUCACACGAGAAUUUCAUAUUUUCACCACUCGAUUUAUAUACUUCCACGAAGACUUAUUACAAUUUUUAAAUGUUUUUUCGUUCAUUAAACCGAUCGCGAAUAAUCGAUCCUCAUUAAAUCGUUUGUAUCGAGAAGCUGUCGUUCCUUAAAAUGUGUUACACUCUCGUGUAUCAUAGUAGUCGCGAAUGUAUUAUAGUAAUUAUUCUACAGACGUUGAAUAUUACGCACUAAACGCUAUAGAAAUAGUUGUUUCUUUCGAAAAGUCGAUACAUUUCUGUCGCAUUGUCGCAGCGCUUUAAACCUUUGUGAAAGUCGCUCUCUUUAAUGGAACGACCUCCACCAAGCUAGUCAUUUCUUUUGUCCCUAGAAAUACACAGUUUACUGACUAAAUCAUUCUUGUCUAAUCUUUUUAUCACCACUGUGAGAUCUAGAUAAGAAACGGCAGAUUAUACUAUUUUGAGAACAUAGUUACGUCUGAUCAUUCGGCAAUACGUUCCCGAAGUGUUUCUGUUCUCGAUUUUAAUAAUUCUUCUCCAUCGUUUUUUUUUUUUUUUUCGUUUUAUCACAAUGGAAUAUUUCAUAUUUCCUAUUUCCGGCGACCCGUUUCCUUUCCGCGUGAUAUACUUUUAUAAUGAGAUUCAAUUUAGAAAUUAAGUACAGUCUGUACUUCCAGGCAAGCACUGGGGAAGUACCACAAGUGCUACUAUUGUACGAGUUCCCUGACGAACAUCUGGAACACCAUAAUCCUCUACAGGACAGGAAUGUCCUCUAUAGCACGUUAUCUUACUUCAUACUAAUUGCCCUCAUUUGCAUUAGCUCUAUGUGCCCCUCGACGUGUGACAUAAUCCAUCGAACUAUCGAUCUAUAACACGAAGGACGAAAUUUUCGAGAAGUUCAGGCAGUUUACAUAGUUACGAAUGGAAGGUGGAUAGGAACAUCAAGGUGAUAAGGAAGACGUGACCGAAAAGUUGCAAGGACUGCGGCCGAUGAAAGCUCGAUCGUGCCUUUUAUGUAACACCGAAAUCAAUAUCGCAUUUUUUUUUUUUUUUUUUUUUGUAGCUCGAAUAACUUCUGCUUACUAGAAGAAAUUACAGCUGAUUUUUAAUGCAGAAAUAAUAGUGCAUCGAAAUUAGUAUUAUGUAGCUGCUCUUCGAUCACUGCAUUGCGCUGCAAUAUAUGUAAUAUCAUAGCGAUUAUAAAAUCUCUGCUUUGAUUUUAUUGCUGACUGCCUGACUUUAUUCUAACGGAAAUAUUACGUUCCAUGGAAAUCGAUGGAAGUAGGUAACGUGAGUUUUGAAGCAUGCACGCUCGCGUGCGCUGAUUCCGAAGGGAGAGUCACGAUAAGAAGCAAAGAAUUACGUAUUGAUUGUGAAUCUAUCGGUUGGAUCAGAAAUCAAAAGUCGUUAAAAUGACCUUUCAUUUUAUACGUUAUAUACUUUAUACUUUCCUGUGAUAGCUGGACAAACGUAUGCAUUUCGUGCGUACGAAUUUUCUACAUGGCGAUAAGUUCGUUUGAGGAUCGAAACGAGCAUCGAGAUGAGACCAGUGAUGACUGAAAGGGACGCGAAAAAUUGGACUCACCGUGAUGGAUAGUCGACAGCAGAACCACGAGGACGAGGGUGACGAUUGGCGCGAGACGAUUUGCAAUCAUGAUCACGAUCACCGGACCAUGUGUUUCAGCCAGUCACGUUGUAGUCAGUCACUUCGGACGUGUUUCCUCCACCCUCGCUGCAUGGAAAGUUCGCACACGGCAGGCCCGAUUACAGUUGCGGUCAAUUUUUAUAUAAAUUUCUUUUUACAAAUUGUAAAUCCACCUGGAGAACUCGAGAAGGUGUUCAAAAGAUAGAACGAAUGAAGAGAAUUUAUACGA